ACGGGAUGCAGCAGCUGAGGUUACAAGGACAUGGGUUAGCAUCUCAGAGCCACCAUUUUCGUCACAACUAUCGAGCUGCUUCUCUCAGUCUGAUGCUCCGUAAACUGUACAGGAUUUCACUCGAGGCUUCAGUGUGCGCAGGUGCUAGACACACCUUCAAAAAGAAGCAUUUAUUUCUGUGCCAAUACUAACAUGAGUUCUCUACAUAAAAAGAUUUCUAAUAAAGCCACUGUGUCUGGAGUGACUAAUUAAGGACCCAAGGAGUUUCAACCUCUGGAAGUCAUCCUGGGAGCAGCAUUCCUGACGAAGCAGUUCCGCUUUUUCUCCACAGUCAUCUCUACAGAGCUGCCAGACUAAACUUCCCA